rnacentral:lncRNA from 1 species
AAGGGGUUGACUAGGGAUUAACUCCUUAACUCCUUGGUGUUUGGGAAGUGAAACAAUUUCUUACAUCGUUAGCAAGGUUUUAUUAAAAAGAAUACUUUAGCAAGUUUGGGUAUUUUGUUUACAUCAUCCUCCAUCCAACAUUUGUUAACAAAAAAUGGUGAAGGAAAAAGUGAAAUGAAGAAAGCAUUGAUAUUUUUUUUGCGAGUAAAAACUGAUGGUAUACAAAAGAGUGAACACGAAAGGAUUAAUU